rnacentral:rRNA from 1 species
AUUGAACGCUGGCGGCAGGCCUAACACAUGCAAGUCGAGCGGAUGAAGGGAGCUUGCUCCUGGAUUCAGCGGCGGACGGGUGAGUAAUGCCUAGGAAUCUGCCUGGUAGUGGGGGCUAACGUCCGGAAACGGGCGCUAAUACCGCAUACGUCCUGAGGGAGAAAGUGGGGGAUCUUCGGACCUCACGCUAUCAGAUGAGCCUAGGUCGGAUUAGCUAGUUGGUGGGGUAAAGGCCUACCAAGGCGACGAUCCGUAACUGGUCUGAGAGGAUGAUCAGUCACACUGGAACUGAGACACGGUCCAGACUCCUACGGGAGGCAGCAGUGGGGAAUAUUGGACAAUGGGCGAAAGCCUGAUCCAGCCAUGCCGCGUGUGUGAAGAAGGUCUUCGGAUUGUAAAGCACUUUAAGUUGGGAAGAAGGGCAGUAAGUUAAUACCUUGCUGUUUUGACGUUACCAACAGAAUAAGCACCGGCUAACUUCGUG